UGCGUAGGUGGUUGAAUAAGUUAGGUGUGAAAUCCCCGGGCUUAACCUGGGAAUUGCGCCUGAUACUGUUUAGCUAGAGUACUGUAGAGGGGAGUGGAAUUUCCGGUGUAGCGGUGAAAUGCGUAGAUAUCGGAAGGAACACCAGUGGCGAAGGCGACUUUCUGGACAGAUACUGACACUGAGGCACGAAAGCAUGGGGAGCAAACA
rnacentral:rRNA from 1 species